rnacentral:lncRNA from 1 species
CGUAAUUAAAACAUUGCACUUAAACUUGAAAUCUGCAGAGAUGGCCACUGUUAUACAGAAAUAUAGCUUAACAUAUACUAAACAUACAUACAUAACUAAAUGUGACUAGCAUUGUAGAUAUCUAAAGCGUUGAGUUUGACACCAGUCAAAAUAAUUUUUCCUCAUUAUACCAAAUUCACAAAAAUAUUACACCAUAUUAACAACCUAAAUUCAUGCAGAUUUAUAGGUUAUCUUUGGCUUGGGCUCUUGAUUUUGAGUGCUGUGUAUGUCUGUCAGAUUGAGAAUAAAUGGAGGAGGAAGAGAGAGAUGUGGAGGAUGUUCUUCAGUCUGAGGAGAGAGAGGAUGCACAGCCUGAACACAUAAGAGAUGGACUGGUGAUUGUGACAGGGGGGAAUGGACAAUUAUAUGGUGUCCCAUCUGUGUCUAUGGGGGCCGCUCAGAUGUUACUACCUCAUGGUCAGCUGUUGAAUGUUGCAAAGUCAUCAGGUCAUUAUUUAUAUUAUAUUUA